CGAAGUGUUUACUCUCCUGCUUGUCUUUGCAUCGCCGAGCAAACCCACACUUAGUUCUCCUUCAUGUUGCCGUUCUCACUUCACCCUCCGUUGUUGGUCGCCGCUUGUUCUCCACUAUUGGUCGCUUGCUAUCAUGCCUUCAUCUCCAACCGUGGACCCAGAAUAGGCACACGUAUAAACGCUCGAGGAUCGAGUGGUGGAAAGUUGAUUUGGAACAAAAGGAGCAAGCAGCAAUGAGAAGUAUCUCACUGUGCCACACGCUGUGGCAUAUAGUGCAUGCACCACGACGCAUGGCAUAGAAUCUAGAUAAAUGAGAUGUGGAUCAUUGUGUGAAAUAAAGAGGAAAGAAGGGGGAAAAUGUGAAACAAGGAGAGAAGGAAGAUUUUCUUUACUAAGGCAUCUGUUUUUAGAAGUUUGGGAGUUGGAUCUGACAAGUGACUUGCUGGGUGAAAAGAGUUCUUAAAGGCUAGGAAAGGAAGCACAGAAGGAGUAGCUUCAUUUUUGGUAGUGGUAAAGCUACCUUCAAGAUGAAAUGAAUAUAUAAUUAUACUGAGUGUUUUAGUUGCCAACUAGGAUGCAUACAUGUGUUUGUAGUAUUUUUAAUGACUGGCUUGUAUAACUUGUAUUGUAUUUGGCCAAGUGUAUCACAAUGGUGAAUAUGUGGGUAGGCCUAGGUACUAUUCAAGAAGUAUGUAAAUAUGAUGUGAUUGCUGUGUUCCACUGGUAUAUAAAUGUGAUUUUUGUGAUACUGUGUACGUGUGUGAGCCCUG